UUUAAAUGGGAGCAGAUGCCUCUGUUUCUUGAGCUGACUUCCAGAUUCUGAGAAAUAAAUGAAGAGUGGAGGCUUGUUUUGGUAGAGGCUGAGAAAAGGAGUUGGCCAUAUUUGCCCUUCAGAACUUCGUGUCAUCCCCCAGCUCCCCAACGGCAGGGCCACAUUCUUUCACAGGACGGAGUUGGGGCAGAUUAUGGCUUCCUCUGGAUUGGAUUUCCCUUGGCUUCCCUGAGGGCAAUCCCCCGAGGAAGCACAUCCUGGAGCCAAACUCACCCAAUGAACCACAGCAACAGCUCCUAGGAGAAUGAAGAGUGUGAAUGGAUGGCCUUUUCAAAAUGAUGAGCCUGGAAGAGUUACAGACUCUGGCCCGAAAGAACCAAAGUUGAAGGUAGAGAUGUUUUAAGGAUGAGCAGAGCAGAACAACUUAGCAGUGGGAUGUUAAAGGCAACAUGAAUCAAACAUGGUAAUUAGAAACCAGGAAGACUGAGAAGGAAUCAAAUUUGCAGCAGCUCAGUAAGUGGUAGACUGGGAACAAGAAGCCAGUUCUCUGGGCUCUUGAAGCAAGGCCCUGCCACGUUGUCUUUCCCCAGGAGAGGAGGAAACUGGGGAGGGAAUCAUGUUCCAGCAGUGAAGAACAAAGGCAGUUUUUUGGGGAUUUACAUACGCCAUCUCCUACAAAGUUAAAAAAUUUUCUUUUCCUGAA
rnacentral:lncRNA from 1 species